rnacentral:rRNA from 1 species
GAUGAACGCUGGCGGCGUGCCUAAUACAUGCAAGUCGAGCGAAUGGAUUAAGAGCUUGCUCUUAUGAAGUUAGCGGCGGACGGGUGAGUAACACGUGGGUAACCUGCCCAUAAGACUGGGAUAACUCCGGGAAACCGGGGCUAAUACCGGAUAACAUUUUGAACCGCAUGGUUCGAAAUUGAAAGGCGGCUUCGGCUGUCACUUAUGGAUGGACCCGCGUCGCAUUAGCUAGUUGGUGAGGUAUCGGCUCACCAAGGCAACGAUGCGUAGCCGACCUGAGAGGGUGAUCGGCCACACUGGGACUGAGACACGGCCCAGACUCCUACGGGAGGCAGCAGUAGGGAAUCUUCCGCAAUGGACGAAAGUCUGACGGAGCAACGCCGCGUGAGUGAUGAAGGCUUUCGGGUCGUAAAACUCUGUUGUUAGGGAAGAACAAGUGCUAGUUGAAUAAGCUGGCACCUUGACGGUACCUAACCAGAAAGCCACGGCUAACUACGUGCAGCCGCCGCGGUAA